rnacentral:rRNA from 1 species
AGUGAACGCUGGCGGUAGGCCUAACACAUGCAAUUCGAACGGCAGCACAGUAAGAGCUUGCUCUUACGGGUGGCGAGUGGCGGACGGGUGCGGAAUACAUCGGAAUCUACUUUUUCGUGGGGGAUAACGUAGGGAAACUUACGCUAAUACCGCAUACGACCUACGGGUGAAAGCAGGGGAUCUUCGGACCUUGCGCGAUUGAAUGAGCCGAUGUCGGAUUAGCUAGUUGGCGGGGUAAAGGCCCACCAAGGCGACGAUCCGUAGCUGGUCUGAGAGGAUGAUCAGCCACACUGGAACUGAGACACGGUCCAGACUCCUACGGGAGGCAGCAGUGGGGAAUAUUGGACAAUGGGCGCAAGCCUGAUCCAGCCAUACCGCGUGGGUGAAGAAGGCCUUCGGGUUGUAAAGCCCUUUUGUUGGGAAAGAAAAGCAGCAGGUUAAUACCCCGCUGUUCUGACGGUACCCAAAGAAUAAGCACCGGCUAACUUCGUG